rnacentral:snoRNA from 1 species
GAGGCUAACACAGUAAGAGGCUUUAAGAGGCUAACACAGUAGGUCUCUAUAAAACCCGGAGAGGAAUUCAUUAAACUACACUUUGAAUCUUGCCUGGAGUCAUGGUU